rnacentral:tRNA from 1 species
AAAUAUGAAGUAAUAUAUAUACAAUUUAAUUUCGACUUAAAAAUUUGGUUUAAUUAAAACCCAUAUUUA